UACGUAGGGGGCAAGCGUUGUCCGGAAUCAUUGGGCGUAAAGCGCACGUAGGCGGCUUUGCAAGUCGGAUGUGAAAGCCCUCGGCUCAACCGAGGAAGUGCAUCCGAAACUGCCGAGCUUGAGUACUUAAGAGGAUCGCGGAAUUCCCGGUGUAGAGGUGAAAUUCGUAGAUAUCGGGAGGAACACCAGUGGCGAAGGCGGCGAUCUGGGAAGAUACUGACGCUGAGGUGCGAAAGCGUGGGGAGCAAACAGG
rnacentral:rRNA from 1 species